UACGUAGGGUCCGAGCGUUGUCCGGAAUUACUGGGCGUAAAGAGCUCGUAGGUGGUUUGUCGCGUUGUUCGUGAAAAACUCACAGCUCAACUGUGGGCGUGCGGGCGAUACGGGCAGACUUGAGUAACUGCAGGGGAGACUGGAAUUCCUGGUGUAGCGGUGGAAUGCGCAGAUAUCAGGAGGAACACCGGUGGCGAAGGCGGGUCUCUGGGCAGUAACUGACGCUGAGGAGCGAAAGCGUGGGGGAGCGAACAGG
rnacentral:rRNA from 1 species